CUGAAAACCUAGCUUAACUUAUUCUUAUGAAUAUACCACCUUAACACUUACUAAAUAAAACAUUUUGUACAUUAAGUAAAGGCGAUUAAAAAAUGUCUUAAAGCUAUAGAAACUAGUACCGCAAGGGAAAAGUGAAAUAUUAAUGAAAAACCUCAAGCACAAAAAAGUAGAGCUACAACCUCGUACCUUUUGCAUCAUGGUCUAACUAGUUCAACCAAGCAAAAUGAAUUUUAAGUUUGACUUCCCGAAACUAGGUGAGCUACUUAAAAACAGCCUUACGGGCCAACCCGUCUCUGUUGCAAAAGAGUGGGAAGAUUUUUAAGUAGAGGUGACAGACCUAUCGAACCUAGAGAUAGCUGGUUAUUCAGGAAAAGGAUUUAAGUCCUACCUUAAGUUUACUGUACAUAAUAAUACACAAUUAACUUUAAGAGCUAUUCAAAUAAGGUACAGCCUAUUGAAACAGGAUACAACCUCCAUAA
rnacentral:rRNA from 1 species